AUUGAACGCUGGCGGCAGGCCUAACACAUGCAAGUCGAACGGUAACAGGAAACAGCUUGCUGUUUCGCUGACGAGUGGCGGACGGGUGAGUAAUGUCUGGGAAACUGCCUGAUGGAGGGGGAUAACUACUGGAAACGGUAGCUAAUACCGCAUAACGUCGCAAGACCAAAGAGGGGGACCUUCGGGCCUCUUGCCAUCGGAUGUGCCCAGAUGGGAUUAGCUAGUAGGUGGGGUAACGGCUCACCUAGGCGACGAUCCCUAGCUGGUCUGAGAGGAUGACCAGCCAAACUGGAACUGAGACAAGGUCCAGACUCCUACGGGAGGCAGCAGUGGGGAAUAUUGCACAAUGGGCGCAAGCCUGAUGCAGCCAUGCCGCGUGUAUGAAGAAGGCCUUCGGGUUGUAAAGUACUUUCAGCGGGGAGGAAGGGAGUAAAGUUAAUACCUUUACUCAUUGACGUUACCCGCAGAAGAAGCACCGGCUAACUCCGUG
rnacentral:rRNA from 1 species